AUCACCAGUGUUCAAUUUCCAGGGAUGGUGUUAAAUACACAGUGUUGAUGCUGUUUUAACACUAUCUGGUAAUAAAAUAACACUGCCAUUGCUAGGCCAGUGUUAUAUCCAUGACAGUGUCAGUGUAAAACAAGGGUGUUACCAGAUUUCACACUGAGCGGUGUAAAUCAAGCCACGCCUCCACUAAACAUAUCCUGUCAGGGAUUUUACCGCCAUUUUCUUUCAAAGGAGGACUGAAGAGAGCAGGUAAAUCUCAUAAUAUUCACAUGGUUUAGCUAAAUUAAACUGUUAUUUCUCUGUCUGACUCUACGCAGCCAUUUGCCAAAAAACCUAAAUAAGAUAUGUUUCCCAUUUUAUUUCCCCUUUGUUCGUUAUUUGGUUCAGUUUAAUCAGAGCUAUCUUGUGUUACGUUGUUCCCUUGUUAGUUUGGUAUAAAGUUAAACUUCUAGCUAAAAGUUUUAACCAAGAAGGAUAAUAUUAACAGGAGAUAUGAAUGAAUGUAAGAAUUGAACCAUGAUAAAACGCGACAUGCACUACAAAUUGAAGGUAUGAAAUUAAGUUAAAUGAAAGCUCGUUUAUUCACCAUAUGAUGCUCGUUAUGAGGUAAUCAUAUAGGCUAGAUACCGUGAGUUAACGAGGUCGUUUACAUGCACGUGAGUGCACGGAUAUCGGUUAAUUAUUCAAAUUACUGAAAAACACGGAGAAAACCGCAACCGCAUCGUCAUGUGUUUUUUUUUUUUUUUAGAUGUAUGCAAACAGGGAAAAUAUCGCCAAACCAACAAUUCAUUUUACCUCAGAAUAUGCACAGAUUGGAUGCAUUGUGUGUUAUGCUAGUUUGGUGAAAGUACACACUGAGUGCUUCAAAUCAUUCAGAAGAGAUGCUGUUUUUAGGGCAGUUUAUUAAAGAAGACCUGACAUGGAUGACUUCCAAUGAGAAACGACUGCUAAUACUUAUAUAAAUUCAUUACAGAAGGACCCUACCAGACUAUAUUUGAAUACGGCAUACCCAUGAAUUCUGGAACUUUUAUUUCUUAACCCAGUUUGGAGGAUAAGAGCUUACCAACUAUAAAUAUGCUGAGGUGAUGUAUUGCAAAAAAGCCAACAUACAACAAUUAAAGGAUAAUUGCAGACUACGUCCUGAUGAAGAUAUGGAUGACCCUCUGUCUGGUCAACAGGAGUUUAAAUAUGG